UAUAAUUUCAAAGUGUCUACAAAGGAAGAAAGGAUGAACUUUUAUGUGUUAUUACAAAAUUCAAAUGAGUACAAGAGCUUGUAUUUGACUCCCAAUAAAUUUUAUUUUCUCAUAGUUUUUGUUGAAUUUACUCCGUGCUAGUACAUGGAUUAGAGGCUCCCAGAGAAGCCAUCAUAGUUCACCUGUGCAGCCAAAAGCCUUAAAUUUUUCUUCUGAAGUGUUGUCAGUAUCUUCAGAGAUUGACAAGAAUUGUCAAUAUAUCGAUUUUCGUACAAAAAAAAUUUAUUUUGCACCGUGCUCAUUAAGAAGACGAUACGUUUGUAAGCA